AUUUUCAUAAGUGGACCCAUUGGUCAAGUUUCCAUUUCACAAGUUUUCAGAUCACAUACAUAAUCAAAAAGAUUCAUCAAAUAUACCACUAAAUAAAUCUAUUACAAUCUUUACAACACAUAUAUGCUACAAUAUGCUACUCUUCACUAAGUAGAACUUGACGGCUUCACACUUCACGGCUUCACACUUGCUUCAUACUUCACGGCUUCACACUUCACGGCUUCACACUUGAGCAUCUGUAAAAGAGGAACAACCACAAAUUUAAAUCUCAAUUGCAGUAUAUGUAGAAGCAGUUCAAAGUUGAAACAACAUCGAUUAAACACACGUGCACAGAAACAUAGGAGUCAAAAUGCAGUAUAGGACCAGGACAAGGAAACUCAUGUUAUUAAAUCAACACACAGCUUGUAGCAAAACAGCACAGAAACAUGUGGAUAUCUCAUGUGAGAAUCAUGCUAUGGUUUUAUUAAACAGUGAUAUAGCAACAGAAUACAAUAUCUUCAGUGCAAACCAGCAAGAGAAUUGCUCCUGCUAGCUGAUGUUGCUGCCACAAAACGCAUGACACAUUAGUUGCAGUACAAGCUAUGGAUCUGGAUUCUGGACUGAGAUCCAACACGACGUAUGUACAAUGAAGUGCAAAUAUGCAACUAGCAGGAAAUCUAAGUGAACAUGGUUUGUACUUCUCACAUAAAUCUUUACUCUUGUAAAUUCAAAGCUAUGUUUGAUCCCAGACGACAUGAGCUGAUGAUUAUAAUGUAUGACACCCUACUGAAGCAACAAACAACUCCUGACUUAUUACUACAAAGAAAAUAGUUCUUCCCAAGCCUCCAUUUUAACAAUGUAUAAAUCUGAGUGAAUAGAUGUACUCUAGAGCGAUGCUAGAACCACUAGCAGAGUAAACAAACAGAGUCCAUGGAAAAUCUGGCAACAACGGAUGUACCGUACUGAUAACAUUAGACUAGUACUAAGAGCCUCAGAGAUCUUGGUGGUUAAGAUCAUCAAGUGGGAUAAACCCAUUAAGAGUAGCAAAUAUUUUGAUAACAUCACAGGCUCAAAGGAAAAUAAACACCAGCAAACUAUUGAAUGAAUUAAAACCCAAAACAGAGCAAAAUCUCUUAAAGAGCACAAAAUGGCAUGGUCUGUCAGAAGUAGCUGGUUGUGAUAAUCAUGAAGUAUCAGUGGGAAUCCGAACGAUUUUCUUCAUCACGCAGAAGCAUGCAAAAGACCCAAUAUAACACAAAGAGCAACAAGGUUGCGACCAACACAAGGAGUGCAUGUACAGCCAGUCAUAAAGCGGUGCAAAUGUAAUAUAGGAGAUGCCAUCAUCCAUCAGAAGUAGCUGGUUACACUAAUCAUGAAAUAUCAGUGGGAAUCCGAACAAUUUUCUUCAUCACCCGGAAUCAUGCAGUUCAACCCAACAGAACACAAUGAGCAAUAAGUUUCAUAACCAAUGAAGGAAUGCAUGUACAGUUAGUCUAAAGCAGUAAAAAUGUGCAAAUGUACUUCAGGAGAUGGCGUGACCCGUCGAUUUUCUUCAUCACCCAGGUAAUGCACAUCUCAUCAGCCAGCAGAACACAAAAAAGAGGAUACAAAAAUUACUGCUAAGAGGUUUGCAAAAAAUCAAAGGAAAGUAUUUGCUCAAUAAUAAAGGAGUACUCCCUCUGUAAACUAAUAUAAGAGUGUUUAGAUCACUAGUUUAGUAUUCUAAACACUCUUAUAUUAGUUUACGGAGGGAGUACAUAUGUAGUCCAAGAGAUGGCAUGAUCCGUCAGAAGUAUCUGGUUGUAAUAAUCAUGAAAAUCAAUGGGAAUCCGAACGAUUUUCUUCAUCACCCAGAUCAUGCACAUCUCAGCCAGCAGAACAUCACAAGUAACAUAUGUAAAACAAUGAUUCUGAGCAUGAGCAAACAAUGAUUCUAUUAGAGUACCAGCAAAUCAGACUGAAGUUUCAUGGAAUGAUUAGUAUAACUAGACCCAUUUUAGUUUAGCAUUACAUAAAAGACUAGUAGCAGUCGCACAAGCAACUAUUGAGCACUGAAGAAACAGGACAGGGAAACAACAUACCCUGAUGGUGCCCAGGCUGCAGCCUCAGAAUCCUGCAAAACCACAAGCGACAUUAACAUCAAACACACAUAUAAG
rnacentral:lncRNA from 1 species